rnacentral:lncRNA from 1 species
UGAAGGGACUCUCUUCGAGCUGAUUAAGGGGAAGUGAUCCAGUGUUCCUGGCUAAGGGCUGGGCACCUUUCCUGACUUCCACAGCUGACGCCCCCUUUCUUAGCGUAAGGCAGGUUAGGGCACCAAAGGAUGAAAAGGUUGGAGGGUCGGGAGGUUGGAAGGUUAGAGGCAGGCCAGGUAAUCAGCAUCUCCCGAGAGGAGCCAUGUCUAUUGUAUACCAAGUUUGUGCUUGCACUGUCUCUCCUUUUAGGUGCCACGGACCUGCCUCUCCCUGUGUCCUGUGAGGCACACGGGGAGGGUACAACAGGGAUUGCUGUGCAGCCCAGUCCUGCAGACAUUCUCAGCUGAAACCAUUCUGGCAGAAUCUAGAGUGAGCCUCAUAUUCUGCCACGGGGAGGAGAAGAGUUUCCCAAGCCAAGGCUUUACUGCUAACCUCAGGCAGUGGAACGGUGGGCUGAGAACUCAGGUUCAGCACUUGGCCUACAGGUCCACAACCUCUGUGGAAGGGGAAGUCAGCCUUGCCUCUGAAGGCGGAACUCAGUGACCCUAGGGCCAGGGAGUUAUGGGAGCUCUUACCUUUUUCUCCUGCUUCUUUUCUGCUCGCCUCCGAGGCUUCAUGCAUUCCUUUGCUUGUGCCCAGCCUCACUUUUAGAAAGCAGGUGCUGGCAGAUGAGAUGACCCAGCCAGGUAAAAGGGCUUGCAGCCAAGCCUGACAACUUGAGUUCAAUGCUGGAGACUCAUGUGGUAGAAGGAGAGAGCUGAUUCCCACAAAAUUUGUCCUCCUGUCUUCACAUGCCUGCCAAGGCACACACCCUCUCUCCCUAAACACAUAAAUAAAUAAACAAAUGUAAUAG